rnacentral:rRNA from 1 species
AAUACUAGAGUUUGAUCCUGGCUCAGAACGAACGCUGGCGGCAGGCCUAACACAUGCAAGUCGAACGCUGUAGCAAUACAGAGUGGCAGACGGGUGAGUAACGCGUGGGAAUCUUCCUAUCGGUACGGAAUAGCUCAGGGAAACUUGGGGUAAUACCGCAUACGCCCUUCGGGGGAAAGAUUUAUCGCCGAUAGAUGAGCCCGCGUCUGAUUAGCUAGUUGGUGAGGUAAUGGCUCACCAAGGCGACGAUCAGUAGCUGGUCUGAGAGGAUGACCAGCCACACUGGGACUGAGACACGGCCCAGACUCCUACGGGAGGCAGCAGUGGGGAAUAUUGGACAAUGGGCGCAAGCCUGAUCCAGCCAUGCCGCGUGAGUGACGAAGGUCUUCGGAUUGUAAAGCUCUUUUGGCGGGGACGAUAAUGACGGUACCCGCAGAAUAAGCCCCGGCUAACUUCGUGCCAGCAGCCGCGGUAAUACGAAGGGGGCUAGCGUUGUUCGGAAUUACUGGGCGUAAAGCGCACGUAGGCGGAUUUGUUAGUCAGGGGUGAAAUCCCGGGGCUCAACCUCGGAACUGCCUUUUGAUACUGCAAGUCUCGAGUCCCGGAAGAGGUGAGUGGAAUUCCUAGUGUAGAGGUGAAAUUCGUAGAUAUUAAGAAGAACACCAGUGGGCGAAAGCGGCUCACCUGGUCCCGGUACUGAC